GGCAACGUCCAAAUCACGUUGGACGUCUACCAGUUCUCGUCUGAUCACUGAAGUCAAGCAACGUUGAGCAUGGUUAGUACUUGGAUGGGUGACCGCUUGGGAACACCAUGUGAUGUUGCCC
rnacentral:rRNA from 1 species